AUUCGCAGGGGGAUACCGUGGUCAGGAAGGAGUUUCUCCCAGGGUGAGGCUCAUCUGCCACACCCCGUGGUGUGCUGUACCCUGCAAUUUCUCCAAAUGCAGGAAACUUACCUGCGUGUUCUGUGGUAGUGGCGGUUUGUCUUCAUACUCUUCCCUG
rnacentral:snRNA from 9 species